CUCUGGGGCAGUCUGCUACUCUUUCUUUGUUGCGCUCCUGUCCAGCAUCACCUCUAGCAGUGCAAUAAUGAAAGGGCAUCAGCCACUCCACAAA
ensembl:miRNA